ACUCCUGCUCUUCUUCUUAUCCUCUUUCUCUUCUUCUUCUUCACAGUAAAUUUCCAUUUUCACAAUCAACCACAACUUCAUCCUCAACUUGUUCCACCAAUUCAAUCAAUUGAAGAAUCAAGUUUUCAAACUCCUGAACAACAACCCAUGGUGUGUUAAGGUCGACUUACAGUAAUUUAGUCAUGGAUAACCUAAUGGAUAUAAUCCACUAUUGUUGGUGUAAUAAUGUUGGCCUCUGUCAUGGUACUCAAGCUUUUGGACUACACAUGAUCUAAAGGCAUGCCCUGGUCGGGCAACCGUACAGAGAAAGUGAAAAGUAGAGACAUGCUUAAUAUACAACAGUAUUUAUUCGGCUGCAUGUAUCAAUCUUCUUAUGCACAGAUGUACAUAUGUACUGUGUAUGUUUUUAGUAUGUUUAAUGUACAAAUUUAGAUUCUCAUGUCAUUGAUGUUUAGCUGAAGGACAGGAACCUUUUUCUCUGCAAUCAUUGUGGACCAUUCGGAAGCACUUAAAAUCCCAUGCGCUUCCCUUGCUUGUGCGCGCUUGUAACGUUAAUGAUGCCCACAUACAAGAAGAAGUUCUACAAAGAACUGUGGUCUCAUGAAGCAGCUUGAUUUUCAGGUAAGACUUGAUCCUUUGCUAUGCCUGGGAGAAUUGCUGAGCACCACGGACAUACAUGCAACAUUGGAGAUUUUGCAGACGGUCCAACGGUGUACAGUUGUGGAUCAUUCAGCUCCCACCCUCAUGUGUACUUUGGGAGUUACGUUGAAGACUUGAUUCUCAAGCAGGUACUCUCUGUAAUUUCUACUCUUAUGCUUUUCUUGGAAUUCCUCCUUCUGCGUUGCAGAUCUUUAAAAUGCUUUGUCUUGUUAAAAAGUUGAAGAAAGUAACUUUUCCUUCUUCUAGUACAAUUAAAAAGGUUGUGGAAAAUCGUACUUUAUAAUCACAAUUUUUUUCUUCUGAUCAAUAUGCCUUGUUUAGCACGCGUGAAUUUGCUGCGGAGCAUGUCCUUCCAUUACUUUUGCCACUUCGCAUUGCGCCACAAUUGAAUGGUCAGCUGUUUGCUAAAUGCAUUUUUUUUUGUGAAAGAUAUCCCCAGGUGGUUCAAGUGAUACGUUAACUACAUAUCUCUUUUCUUUCCUGUAUGGGUUUCUCUCUUUCUUAAUUCAAUAUGGCCAACACAUUUGAGCUGGAGAAAAAUAUCUGCUUUUUCCCACCCUUCAAUUUCGCAGGAAAAUGGAAGAAAAGCGAGGUGUUUCUGUGACUGAUUCUGGAACUCUAGAAAUUGGGGUAACACCAGUACUAAAUGAGACUCCGUCUCAACCAUCUGUCAAAGAAAGCUUAAGCUUUUUGGGGUUAAUCCACUUGAUCGUACGCAGUCUUUUUUGUGAUGUAUUAUUGUGAUAUCAGUGAUACGAAAAGAAGUGUAAUCAGGAGUCACGUACAUACAAGUUAAUCUUUUUAUAUUUUUUUUUGCAAGUUUGUUGGGCACUUCUCUGUAUUUCUUGAAUAUGCAAAUCUAUAUAUAUCAUGGAACAGUGCAAUUUCCUUCAUA